UUUCUAAUACUACUACUACCAAUUUUAUAUAUACUAUUUGUAUUGCCAGUACAGUGCAACCACCUUAUUUCCACCCAAAUCUCUUACCCUAAAAGGCCUACCCCCAUCCCAUUUCUGUAAUUCCACUCUUUUUUUUUCCUGUCAACUUUCAAACCAAUCUUGGAAAUUUGCAAACCAAGAUAGAUAAAUACACCCCCCUUACCCCCUAUUCUUCUUCCAUUCUAGAAUUUUCUUAUACCUCUUUUGUAAGCCAAGCAUAAGGGACCAACCUUUGUUUCUCUUUUUGUUAUAUUUUGGUGGGGUGAUUGCAUUAUAUUGUUGUAUUUGGGGAUUUAAUUCUCUGGUAAAAAAGAUUGGUUAUGCAGGAGUGUGAUAGAGAAGCUUUCUUCUGCCACAAACUGCAAAUUUCUCUCACCAUCACAGCUAUAUGAUGAGGUGUUAUAGUCACAGCAUUAAAGCAUUCAACCUGAAUUUAUAGUACCUGGCUUCAAUUUUAGGGGACAAAAAUCUGCAUUGGAUCUGAUUUAGGGAAUAUUGAAGAGGCAAUACGCAAUACAUACCUCGAAUCCGAGAUUUUGAAUCACAUUGAUCUCCAGAAUCAAGCGGUUUCCAGUAUCCGAUUUUGAGUAAGAGAAAA